GCCCUUAGAGUUUGAUCCUGGCUCAGGAUGAACGCUGGCGGCGUGCCUAAUACAUGCAAGUCGAACGAAUCUCUUUUAGAGAUGAGUGGCGAACGGGUGAGUAAUACAUAGGUAACCUGCCCCUGUGCGGGGGAUAACAGGAGGAAACUCCUGCUAAUACCGCAUAGCCAUGAGCACCGCAUGGAGCUCAUGCCAAAUAUCCUUUAUGGGAUAGCGCAGGGAUGGACCUAUGGCGCAUUAGCUGGUUGGCGGGGCAACGGCCCACCAAGGCAACGAUGCGUAGCCGGCCUGAGAGGGCGGACGGCCACAUUGGGACUGUGACACGGCCCAGACUCCUACGGGAGGCAGCAGUAGGGAAUUUUCGGCAAUGGGGGAAACCCUGACCGAGCAACGCCGCGUGAGCGAAGAAGGCCUUCGGGUCGUAAAGCUCUGUUGUAAAGGAAGAACGGCGCAUACAGGAAAUGGUAUGCGAGUGACGGUACUUUACCAGAAAGCCACGGCUAACUACGUGCCAGCAGCCGCGGUAAUACGUAGGUGGCGAGCGUUAUCCGGAAUCAUUGGGCGUAAAGAGGGAGCAGGCGGCCGCAAGGGUCUGUGGUGAAAGCCCGAAGCUAAACUUCGGUAAGCCAUGGAAACCGGGCGGCUAGAGUGCGGAAGAGGAUCGUGGAAUUCCAUGUGUAGCGGUGAAAUGCGUAGAUAUAUGGAGGAACACCAGUGGCGAAGGCGACGGUCUGGGCCGCAACUGACGCUCAUUCCCGAAAGCGUGGGGAGCAAAUAGGAUUAGAUACCCUAGUAGUCCACGCCGUAAACGAUGGUCACUAAGUGUCGGGGGUCAAACCCCGGUGCUGCAGUCAACGCAAUAAGUGACCCGCCUGAGUAGUACGUUCGCAAGAAUGAAACUCAAAGGAAUUGACG
rnacentral:rRNA from 1 species